GGAGCAGCUUUGGGAGUGUGUGUGGUUGUGAUCUCUGCUCAAGCCUUUAUAAUCUGUAAAAGGAGAAACAGUGACCACUGCAGUGUGAGAAAACAACAAGGCUCAGCAGCAGAGAACACAACCAGUCAGACUGCUGAGAGUCUGAAUUACGCUCCCAUCCAUUUCAAAGAGAACAAACCCAAAACUGGAC